rnacentral:rRNA from 1 species
UUAGCAACCUGAGCUCAGUCGUGAUUACCCGCCGAACUUAAGCAUAUCAUGACG